rnacentral:rRNA from 1 species
UACGUAGGGUGCGAGCGUUAAUCGGAAUUACUGGGCGUAAAGGGCUCGUAGGUGGCCAACUAAGUCAGACGUGAAAUCCCUCAGCUUAACUGGGGAACUGCGUCUGAUACUGGAUGGCUUGAGUUUGGGAGAGGGAUGCGGAAUUCCAGGUGUAGCGGUGAAAUGCGUAGAUAUCUGGAGGAACACCGGUGGCGAAGGCGGCAUCCUGGACCGGCAUUGACGCUGAGGCGCGAAAGCCAGGGGAGCAAACGGG